GUGGACUGGGAGCAGGUCCCUCCCCCUUCAGAGCGUAGACCUUAAUCCCUGAUAAUCUCUGCAUCCACUGAAAGCUGGCAGUCAUGGCCACACCGAAGGAGAAUUCACUGUCUCUUGGGCAUCUGACCGACACUUUCGCAAAACAAAGACAGCACAGGCUCAAAAAGAGUGUCAACACGCCGAUGUUGUUUCAGGCCGACCUCUCAGCUCCUCAGAGUCAUCAACAUCUCAGGAAGAUGCACCUGCAGCAGCGUCUACGGGAGCUGAAGGAGCGAGAGCUCACAGCCCGGCAGCACAACAGGCAGCUGCUGCAGCAGUUUGAUGAGGCGCAGGACACACUGAGAGGGAUGUUCACCCUCACUGCCAACAUGAAAACUAUUCGGGUGGAGUAUGAGAGGUACCUGGAGGAGAGCGCCCCCCGCUGGCAGCAGCAACUCAAGGAGCAAACACAGGCUGCUCAGAGGAAGAGAAUGGAGGAGGUUUUGAAGUCGUGCCUAAAGAACGCAGAAGAUCAAGUGAUGAAGUCCUCUGCAGGGUCAACCGCACAGCCACAAAAAACUGCUCCACCUCAAAAGCACUACAGCCACAACAGCCCUUUCGACUAUGCCCAAGAUGGCUCCCCUCAUCUCCCCUACAUGCAGCCAGCCUGGCAGACCCACCCUCGCACCCAGACUUCCAGGUUUCCCAUCGGAGCGCCUCAUCAAACUCAGGGCUCCCUUCAAGUCCCUCUGUCUUCCCUCCCACCUCCCGUCUUCUCGCACCCGUUCCACCUCGGCCAUCAUCACCCCUGGCCCAGGCAGACUCCCCCGCAGCCCGACUGGUCCUGGGCCGCAGCAAUCCCCCCGGGAUCUGAGGCCCUGUGGGGUCAGCUCUACACGGAGGAGCCUCCACCCGAGAGGGAGGCGGUGGAAUCGAGCAGAGCACCGAGCUCGAAGAGAGAACGAGGUGGAGGGAGCGGAAGCAGCCUUUUGUCACAGGAGCUGGACGUCAAACCAGUUCGGUUGUCCUGCAGCCCUGCAGAGAGCAGUGACAGCAGCAGGGAGUCCAGUCGGGCGAGCAGAGAGAGGAGGGAGAAGAGAGGAGGAUCACGGCGUCCUUCCUCUGACGGAGAAAGAUGCAGCUCUCAGGAGUCAUCUGGGUCUUCCAGCGCCAUCGUCGUCACUGCUGCAGUCACAGCGGCCAAAAGCUCCAAAAGUUCCAAAAGUGACGCCUCAUCGGAGAAGAGCAGAACCAGCGGGAGGGGAAGAAGGAGUGCUGGACUGGACGCUGGAUCACCGAGGGCUGAGAAGGCGGAGAAGGAGGGGAGCAGGAGCAACGGAGAGGAUUCAGAGAGUCAGUCUACUUGUGAGGAGUCCAGGAGUGAAGAAGAAGAUCGAAGUCCUGGCGCUAAAUCACUGAGCUGUAGAGAGGAGUCGGGAUCCCAGGAGGAGGAGAAGGAGGAAGAUGAGGAGGAGGAGGAAGAUGAGGAGGAGGAGGAGGGGGAUGAAUCAGGGAGUGUUAGUUUAAAAAUUGAAGAAGGACGUGGAGGUCAGAGUAGCAGCUCUGAAGAGAGCGGCGAGGGAGUAAAGGAGCAAGAAGAGGAACAAGAUAAAGAUCCGGGAGACGGAGACGAAGAGGAGGAUGAUGGUGAAGAAAAAGAGGAGAGUCGAGGAGAUGAAGAGCGAGAGGUGAAAGGUGAGGAGGAGAUGAAGGAGCAGGACUCAGAGGAAGAGGGUGACGAGGAAGAAGAAAAGUCAGACAGGUUGAAGAACGAAGAGAACGGAGGAGAAGGUUCUGAAGAUGAAGAGGAGGACGAGGAGGAGGGCGAAGGAGAGGAGGACAAAAUCAAGGAGGAGGGAGGGUCAGAUGAAGAGGAGGAAGAGGAGCAGAGAGGAGAAGAAGCAGGAGAACCAGAGGAGGGAGACUCCGAGGACAGCAUCAUCUCCCCACAGAGCAAAACUAAGAAGAUGCACAUCAUUCCUGAGGAGGGAGGUGAAGAUGAGGAGGAGGAUGAGGAUGAAGAGGGUACAACAGGAUCCUCCGACUCUAGGGAGAACAGCGACGAGGACAUCGAGAAUCUACUUGCACCCCAGGAGCAAUCGCAGAAAAAGGAGGAGAAAAACGUAAAAGCGGAUGAGACAGACAAAGGAACUUGUGACAGAGUGCAGAUUUUUCAAGUGGAGACAUCGCCGAAGAGAGACCAUCAAAGUGACUCUGAGGAGUUUGAUGACUUUUAUGACUAA
rnacentral:lncRNA from 1 species